UACGGAGGGUGCAAGCGUUGCUCGGAAUUAUUGGGCGUAAAGGGUAGGUAGGUGGUCUCGUUUGUCUGGGGUGAAAGCCUUGAGCUUAACUCAAGAAGUGCCCCAGAAACGGCGAGACUGGAGUCCUGGAGAGGGUCGUGGAAUUCCCGGUGUAGCGGUGAAAUGCGUAGAGAUCGGGAGGAACACCUGAGGCGAAAGCGGCGACCUGGACAGGUACUGACACUCAACUACGAAAGCGUGGGGAGCAAACAGG
rnacentral:rRNA from 1 species